GGAAGCAGUUGAACUAAAUUAUAAUAUAUAUAUAUAUAUAUUUAAAAGCAUCGUUUCGAGCUUUAAAAUAUUGUAGUUCAAGAGAAAUAACAGUAGCAACCUUUUUCUUGUUUUCCCUUCCUGCUCUGGAGUUUUCGUCUUAGUCUAGAAAGCGUUUUAAAGAAGUAAACAUCAAACAUGGCUUUAGCAGACAAGAGACUUGAGAACUUACAGAUCUACAGAGUUCUUCAGUGUGUUCGCAACAAAGACAAGAAGCAGAUAGAGAAGCUGACCAAGCUUGGAUACCCUGAGCUCAUCAACUUCACUGAACCCAUUGAUGGACUGAGUGCUCUCCACUUAGCCUCCGUCUCCAAUGAUAUUGACAUGGUUAGCUUUCUCCUUGGACUUGGUGCUCAUCCUGAUGUG
rnacentral:lncRNA from 1 species